CUAUAUGUUAUGUUUUAUGUAUGUCUUUUAGGCUACAAGCCUGUACAGAAUGUUAUGACACUGUAUACUGGAGGCAACUCUAACACAAUGACCCUUUAUCAGGAAAAGCAGUGCUUGUGCAUUCUUCCAAAAGUAUUCUGAUAAGUUUCUCACAUACAACAUUGAGAAGAAAAACUGAUUUUGAGGAGAGCUGUAGGUUAUUGUACAUGAAUCACUCCUACUAAGAGAUCCUGAAAGAGGUCAUCAAAGCCACCAGAAACUAUUCCUGGACAGAGGAGGUUUUAUAGGUGUGGUUGGUCUCCUUACUGACGUGUCAACUACAAAUGCACAGGGUUCUGCCUGAAAUGUUUUAGUUGUUGCAGAUGUGUAGCUUCUAUAUGUAAAGUCUUCACUGCACGUGCUACAGAAACUUGAACUAUCUGAAGAGAGGAUGGAGUCAUCAGAUACUGGAUCCAGUCAAAAUAUUUGGAUGCUUUCAGAAACAUCUGCCUAGCUGAGAUGUGGGGAAGGAACAUAAAGCAUUUUCUCUCCCAGUCCCUGCUGAAAGGGAACAAGAAGACUAAGCAAUAAGUGAGAAAAGAAAUGAUGGAAUAGAUGUGAGGCUUCCACAGCAAACUCCUGUAAAACCUGCAGUUAAACCUGAGCAAGAGGAAUGUGACAUAUGUGUCUUUGCUCUUUAUUUGGAUCUGUGUGUAUGCUCUUGGAGCAGUGGCGAAGAAGCUCCAGGGUAAUCUAAAAACCAAAAUAAAUGCCUUGAGAUCUUUUCUGGGAAUGAAAAAAUACAAAGACAAGCUAAGAAGCUGGAGCAGGAAAUUGACUUCAAACUCUGCUUGGAGAAUCACCAGCUGCAAAACUGUAUGGGGCAAAUUUCUCAUAAGAGUAUAGAGGAUGUGACACUGUACAGAGUUCACACUCAUGACUCAAUGAUGAAAUGGAAACCAGGAAGACCUGAUUAUGCAUGUCUGUGAAACUCACCCAUGCCAUCUGGAAAGGAAAAAGUUAAGUUGCAUUUCUGCAAUACAUUCUCUCCCUUCCCUGAGCUGCUCCUGGAAUAUAAAGAAAGCAAGGAAAUAUUUACUGGGCCUUCAGCUUUCUGUACUACUUCGGAACAGCACUAGCAUCUAUCUCAGGGUUUAAAAUAUGGAAGUUCUUGCCUUCCUUGAAUCUUUUCUCCCAGAAAUAACAUAUUGGCUCUCUUCCCUGUGACAUGCCUCAUCUGACAUUGGCUGGCUUUCAUAUAAAACCUUUGUUUUAGCCUACUAUCAAUUCAACUUUUACAUUGACAAAACGUAAUUUUUGGUUGUCAAUGUAAAAGUUGACAUUUUUACAUUCAACUUUAAUUUAAAUGCUGAAUUUAAAUUUAAAUGCUGAAAAUUUAUUUAAACACUUAAAAUGAUAUUAGAAGAGGUAUUUUAUGUUUUUAAACAGAGAUAUAUUUCAUUUUUAUAUGCAGUCAACAGAUCACAUGUGUAUGUCUCUUAUGUGUUCCUGUGUGGGAAUAGCUUGAAUUACUACAUAAGUUCUCUGAGAAUAUUAAGUUCAUUUAGGGGAACAGGACAUAUCUAUAUGAAAAACAGAAAUAAUACUACAAACAAAAGAGAGAUCACGAGAUAACAUGUAAUUAAUUCUCAGUGAAUGACAUGUCAUGAAAUCAUCAGAAGAGAUGAGGAUAUGGGAAAAGCUUUAUGAAAGUAGUCAGAACCAUAAGGAAGAUUCGGUUUUGUUAAACAGAAAGACCUUUUUCCAUUGUGGUAUUAAGUUUAAUAUGAUUUUCAUUGUAUUAAAAUACUAAUGCAGUAAGUUGAAAAUAUAAUUGCAUUCUUUUCAUUUAAUCUAUUGUAAAAUAUAUAAUCAAAAUGAUAUACUUGUAAAAUAAUUACAUAUAUAAUAAAAUCAAUAUACCUGUAAAAGAAUCA
rnacentral:lncRNA from 10 species